rnacentral:rRNA from 1 species
ACGCUCGACACCUACGGGGGGCAGCAGUGGGGAAUAUUGCACAAUGGAGGAAACUCUGAUGCAGCGAUGCCGCGUGAGGGAAGAAGGUUUUCGGAUUGUAAACCUCUGUCUUUGGGGACGAUAAUGACGGUACCCAAGGAGGAAGCUCCGGCUAACUACGUGCCGCAGCCGCGGUAAUCUGAGCGGGCUGGCAAGGC